rnacentral:lncRNA from 1 species
GAUUUUAUCUGUGGAUUUGAUUUGGCUUGGUUGGGAAGAUGGGAAUUGAACCGUUUGAAACAGGGGAAUUAAUCCUAUUUGGCUGGGAAAAGGCCAAUGACUAGAAUUCUCUGAGAUCUGUGCAACUAUAGAUGAAUAGAUGAUAUACUUUGAGAUCUGAGAAAUAAAUGAUUGAAAAGUGUGGGAAGAGAAGUAGGUGAAAUUGUGAAGA